CACCUUUAGAAUUAACAGAGCAGGAAAGCGAGCGUACAGUAAGAGCGCUGAAAGUGAACGGAGACGGUCAUUCGCGACAGCCAAUCAGAUCUCGAGACUGCGACACGGAGGCCCCGCUACGAGGUCACACGCUGAACGUGGCACGUACGCGUCCUGUGAUUGGAUAAGCACCGAAAGGCGGCUCUUUGCAAAGUGUAGCAUCCGUUACCUGGACAUCCGUUAGCUACUAUCAGUUACCGUAGUAUUUUUAGCCCAAGUUGGCUGAAAGAGGAGACGGGAAAUUGUUGCAGACAAACGUUACACGCCAUUUUCAACACGGACCUUUCCCAAAAAGCUGGACCCUGUGAGGAGUGGCCGACCAACCGCUACGCUGGGUAACCUGUCCCAGCAGGGAGAAGGGUUGUCCGCCAUUUUCAGACCAGCAGCUAUGUACAGAAUCAGUGGCUCAUACCUUCUGAGAACCGUUGGUGAUUUGGUGGUUGGAGCUACACUAGGUUUACCAACGUAGGUUGUUUCACCGUGGCAGCAACGACACACCAAAGCACGGCCGGGUUCCGACGAGCCACGGUGCGUUUAAAGACUACCGGACAGACGGCAUUAGCAUCCUUAUUGCUGGAUCCGAAAGCACAAUAAGCCUUCUACAGAAAAGGAGAAGCUCUGUGUUGUCUCUUCGCAGGUGGCGCUUUCCUGGGUCCUUCGUGCUGUCACUCUAGGCCAUCCACAGCUCGCCUUUAUUACAGUUACUAGAGCGCAAGCUAAGAUACGGCUCAGGGAACAGUCCAUCCACCUUGUUUGUCCUUUGCUUGGUUCAUGUGGAGCAGGUGAAGGUCAGUUUGGAGCUGAGGGGAUAUCAAAGCCACUGCGUCAGUUAGACCUCUCUGUCACUUUGUUCCCUUUCAGUAACGUAUUUCUCUCUCUCCUUCUGUGUACCCAGGCUAUUUAUCUGACCUAGCUCUCCUUUCUCUUUUCUUUUUCCUCUCUUACUGUAUCUCGCCCUGGCUCUUUAUAUGCCCACCAACAUCCUCCUUGCUAAUGUUUGUAUAUCUUCUUUUCAGUGUGUUUCUGAUGUGCUGCCUCAGUACAAGUCACUUUCACUUCCCUGCGGCACAGCUUAAAUGCAAACUCCAAGUCCUGCAGUCUAUCUCAUGUAGCCUGCUAUUCAGCACACAUGACCUCAGCCAAGAAGAGGGAAAAUCAUACACCUAGCAGCAAAGUACUGUGGCAUGAUCAGUGUCUACAAUCAUUUGGGUUUCUUUAAAGAUACACAUCAAAU
rnacentral:lncRNA from 1 species